GGGGUCGAUGGGCAUUUCACAAUCUCUGGUAACAAACUUCUCUUUUAUUGCUGUCAAUGAACCUUCCGCCGCAAACAGAUCGUCAGAAGAUCGAGAGAGCGGAGAGGAGAGCCGGGAGAUCUGACAAAGUUGGCGACGCGUUUCGUAUCUUCCAAUCCUUCUGAGAAUUGUGGAUUUUCUACACCAACCAGGUGAUGUCGGGAAUGCGGAACAUUCUACUCCUUCUAUGCUGUGCCGUGUCUGGUGCCGAUUUCCUCCUCCCGCCACCCACAGACAUUCAGAUCUCGGCGCUGGGCCUGGGGAGGGUCAAUGUGAGUUGGACGUACGCCCCGCCCCCGAAGAAGAACAUAAUGUUCAGUGUGAAGGCGAAGACCCCGGAGGGGGAGGGGGAGGAGGAGG